AAGUCGUAACAAGGUUUAUGGUUUCCCUAAGCAGUGCAGAAGGAUCCACUGAGUAAGGAUAACGCAUCACGGUUGCUGCAGACAUGUCACAGGGCUACAUGCCCCUUCGUUCACCCCUUGCCUAAAACUCGCCCACCGGAAACGCUGGGCACAAAAACCGAACAACUGUUAACAAUGGAUAUCUUGGUUCUC
rnacentral:misc_RNA from 1 species